CCUACGGGUGGCAGCAGUGAGGAAUAUUGGUCAAUGGACGAGAGUCUGAACCAGCCAAGUAGCGUGAAGGAUGACUGCCCUAUGGGUUGUAAACUUCUUUUAUAUGGGAAUAAAACGUUCCACGUGUGGGAUUUUGUAUGUACCAUAUGAAUAAGGAUCGGCUAACUCCGUGCCAGCAGCCGCGGUAAUACGGAGGAUCCGAGCGUUAUCCGGAUUUAUUGGGUUUAAAGGGAGCGUAGGUGGAUUGUUAAGUCAGUUGUGAAAGUUUGUGGCGCAACCGUAAAAUUGCAGUUGAAACUGGCAGUCUUGAGUACAGUAGAGGUGGGCGGAAUUCGUGGUGUAGCGGUGAAAUGCUUAGAUAUCACGAAGAACUCCGAUUGCGAAGGCAGUUCACUGGACUGCAACUGACACUGAGGCUCGAAAGUGUGGGUAUCAAACAGGAUUAGAUACCCGAGUAGUC
rnacentral:rRNA from 1 species